UGUUACAUAAGACAGUCUCUUGUGGUCUCUUCCUCUGACAUUUCGCCGGACCCUAACAUUUGGUGCGUUGGCCGGGAACUGCGCAUCGCCGGACAGGGAGACCUCAACAAGACUCCUUUAGAGGGGUGGACUCAGGAGCAAAUGAAAACUGUAUGUAUUCUCAAUUCACUUACUUGCUGAGGGAAAAUUGAAGUGCUGAAAAAGUUUCAACUUUCUUGCCUGUUUCUGUCUGCAAAGCCAUCCUGAUUCCAGAUUCCUGCUGGAAAAGAGGACUGGGGGUUUGGUGAAAGAAACUGAUAGUCCAGUGAAGACUGAUGACCAUCUAUUACAGUCCUCAGUUUCCUCUGAGGACUUGUUGGAAUCACUUGCAAGUGACARCAAUGACAAGGAGGACCCACUGAAUGUCCUGGUGGAUGCAAGAGGAACUGAAAAUGGUAUGCACUGUGGAAUCACUCACUUGCUGAUGAAUUGUCUAGAUGAUGAGGAAGGUGGAACUGUCUUGCUGACUUUCAUGUGGAGAGCCGCCCUGAUUCCAACUGUCUGCCAUGGAUAAGGACUGGGUUCCAGGAGUACCUGAUUGAAAUUCCCUGGGCUUGGAUCUUCCUCAGGUGUGGAAAAGUCYCCUUUUUAAUUCUUCUGUCCUGUUGUGCCCCACCCCAAGACAGGUGGAUGUUCAGGCUCUGACCCAGGCUCARGAGGAUAAAGAUUUACUUGUAGAGAAUAUCAGUGACUCCACAAUGAAAAGGAAGACUCUCCAGAGUCCUGUGUGGACACCUGGCGGCUGGGAGGAUCUGGAGCUUCCUGAGUAAUGGGAAGCACRAAUGAAGUAUUAAGGUCAAUGUACAGGAGCAACUUCCUGCUUGUUCUCUCCAUAGUUUAAAUUAGAUGSAGUUUAUUUUAUCUUGUAUAGUCUAAAUAUUAAUUUUGAAAAUGAGUGCAAUAUUUAAUAUUGAUGUUUUUAUGUUAAA